rnacentral:rRNA from 1 species
ACGGGUGAGUAACGCGUGGGUAACCUGCCUUAUACAGGGGAUAACAGUCAGAAAUGGCUGCUAAUACCGCAUAAGCGCACAGAGCUGCAUGGCUCAGUGUGAAAAACUCCGGUGGUAUAAGAUGGACCCGCGUUGGAUUAGCUAGUUGGUGGGGUAACGGCCCACCAAGGCGACGAUCCAUAGCCGGCCUGAGAGGGUGAACGGCCACAUUGGGACUGAGACACGGCCCAGACUCCUACGGGAGGCAGCAUG